GUAAGUCGACUUUGAUGACAUCCCAAGAAACGUCAGAACAAAGACCUGUAUGAGCUGCAGUCGCUGAUCGACGCUCCACUUGAGUGCAGGCAGAAGGAGCAGGAGGGAGCAUCAUCGCGCUCAAAGA